rnacentral:rRNA from 1 species
AACGAACGCUGGCGGCAGGCUUAACACAUGCAAGUCGAACGGAUGGGUGUAGCAAUACAUUUCAUCAGUGGCAGACGGGUGAGUAACACGUGGGAACCUUCCUCGUUGUACGGGACAACUCAGGGAAACUUGAGCUAAUACCGUAUAAGUCCGAGAGGAGAAAGAUUUAUCGCAAUGAGACGGGCCCGCGUCGGAUUAGCUAGUUGGUGGGGUAACGGCCUACCAAGGCGACGAUCCGUAGCUGAUCUGAGAGGAUGAUCAGCCACACUGGGACUGAGACACGGCCCAGACUCCUACGGGAGGCAGCAGUGGGGAAUCUUGGACAAUGGGCGCAAGCCUGAUCCAGCCA